rnacentral:ncRNA from 2 species
UUCUAAAAAGCUGUUUCAGGUGUCUCGCGCGUCGCUGCGCGAGGUGAAACGGGAAGCCAGUGCGCCCUUGCGGGCAAUUCUGGCGCUGCCCCCGCAACGGUAAGCGCAUGUCAGGGUCGAUUUAGUCACUGGGCCACACGGCUUGGGAAGGCUGACCCUCCUACUGUCCAACGCGACAGUCUGCGUAAGCCCGGAGACCGGCCUGAAACCUUGUUUGGCA